UCUGAAUGGGGAAACCUAAUCAAUUUAUUGAUUAUUGCAUAUUGAAUACAUAGAUAUGUAAAGCAAACCUGGUGAACUGAAAUAUCUCAGUAGCUAGAGGAAAGGAAAUCAAAAGAGACUCCGUUAGUAGUGACGAGCGAACGCGGAUCAGGCCAGUGGUUUAUAGUUAAAAAUUAGAAUACUUUGGAAAGAGUAGCCAUAGAUGGUGAUAGCCCAGUAUAAGUAAAAAGAUUAUAGAUCCUUGAGUAGGGCGGGACACGUGAAAUCCUGUUUGAAGAUGGGGGGACCAUCCUCCAAGCCUAAGUACUCCUUAACGACCGAUAGUGGACAAGUACCGUGAGGGAAAGGUGAAAAGAACCCCGGGAGGGGAGUGAAAUAGACCCUGAAAUCGAUAUGGCUUACAACCAGUUGGAGC
rnacentral:rRNA from 1 species